CUAAGUAUACCACUAGAAUUCCAGUAGUAAGAUUAAACUUUACCUUAUCAAUUUGAUCAUUUUUCCUACUACUACAUUGCAUAUCAUGGCAAACAUAUAUCUCACUCAUUGGAUUCAUUAGAUUGCAACCUCGCUGACGUAGAGUACGUGCUCAUUCCCGAUCAAGGAGUUGUCCAAGAGGAAGUCCAGGAGCCAGCUCCCAAGCCUGCCACAGAGGAUCUUCCCGCAGCCCCAGCAUUUGAAGGCAAGCCCCGGUUUUAUGCAUAACCGUUUAUAUAUGCUACUUUACUACACUUAAUGUUUGUAGGCUUGUAAUGUGCACUUAAGUGUAGGAGUUUCUUGAAACCCUUAGUUGCAUGAACUCAGGAUUCCUUUUUGAGAUGGAUACUAGUAUGCUAGAUCGAGUAGCUGCUUGCUAAUCAGGAUCUCGGUAGAAGUAGAGUGAUUUUUCUAGCACUUACGCGAGGUCAGGCAUUGACUGUAUACAUCUUGAUAAUGGGAUCUAUGAUGAUCUAUGGACUUGGAUCCAGAGUGGAUGCCUUGUCCAUGUGACGGAAAUAGAAUUAAGGAUUUAUGUGUGGAUACCUGAGUCAAGCGUUUGAAAGUACUAAACACAUGUCGGGAAAUAUGGUAACUGAUAAGCCUAGUACCUGAGUGAAGUCGGGCGCGGACUUUCCUCCGCACUUGUCCUGAGACUAGGUCUCCCAUGCUAGCUAUGGUGGGUACAAGUGCGGUCACUGCACGGCGGUAUCCGGGGUCGGUGGAGCAUUGUAUGCCAAGGCGGUGAGCCCUCGCCGCGAAUGGGGAAUCGAUGGGGACGGUUGAUGUGUGUGGGGAUGGAGUGCCCCUACAUGUCUUGUGUUUAGGUUUACCUUGCAAGGUUAAAAACUCGAUUCGAAUUGUCUGCUUCUCGCAGCUAAUGAGACUGCUUGACCCCUUGUCCUGCAUUGAGUAAAAAGUGGAAUGAGGUUUUACUUGAGAUAACAUGUUGAUUGUGCUAAAUGAUUGUUACCAUGUAUGUUUAGAAAGGAGCAAACCUAGCUAAAUUAAUGAUGCUAGAAUUGGAAAAGCUAAAAUUGAUUUUAGACUCAGCUAGUGCUUUUGGCAAACCAAACCCAUCAGCCAAAUAGCUGCAUGGUCUAGAGGUAGAGGAGUAGACUCCUCACACCGGGUAAGUCUAGCUGAGUAUUAGUAUACUCAGUCUUGCUUGUGGCACAAUUUUUGCAGGUACACUACAGGACAUGGUUGAUGGUGUGACUUGGCCUUCCACCCUGCCACCGGGUUGAAGGUCGAGUGGGAUGCUGCUCCGGCAGGAGAGGAUCAGGAGGAGUAGUGGGCUAGGCCUUGCUCUAUUCCUUAGCAUUCGACGUUAUCGAUUAUCCGCUGCACUUUAUUUAUGAACUUGUUUCCCUUGUAUUUAAAACUCUGAAUUAUGUAGUAACUCUAGUACCUUAAUUUGUGGUUUCAUGCUUUAUUGUAUUCUCUCUCUGACUCACCAUCGAGUGAGAUAGUGGUAUUCGAUCCCAGGGAAGUGGCUUUAUUAGACUAGAUCUGAGGGACUGACGGGUUAUUCCAAUUUAAGUGUGUUGCUGCCUCUAAGGCGUGACUUGGGCACUUAAGCUGGAAUAAUUCCGGCGGUUCCGCCAUAGGACAUAACCAAAUAUUUGAAUAAUUCAUAUCGAGUUGUGAAAGUCGUCUUAGGAAUAUCCUUGGGUUGAAUUCUUAUCUGAUGUGUGAUAUCCUGGCCCCUGGGAUGGUGAUAUACUGGCUCAAAGCUUAAUAGAAUUAAUAGAGUAUCCAUACCAAUAAGGUGCAUCUUCUUUUUGGAAGUCUUUCUCGAAAGAACUUCCAAGUUAAGAAUGCUUGACUUGGAGCAAUUUGGGAUGGGUGACCGACCGAGAAGUUUUCUCGGGUGCGCAUGAGUGAGAACAAAGUGCGCUCAAAAGACUCGUGUUGGUCUGUGGGGACGAUAAUCCGACCGAUCGGUGGAGUGGGCUUCUAAUCCAAUGGCACGGAUCAGCCCAUACCUCUUCGUCGUGGUGCUUUCGCAUAAGAGACCCCGAGUUUCUGAAAAAUAAACCCGCCAUCCCCGUAUGCAUAAAAAUCACUACACUUAGGUCUUGAUUUUCACGAGUUAGCCCCUGAACUCUCAAGCAUUAGUGUACACCAUCCAACAUGGAUAAAAUAAAUGGUGAAUUGAAUAUAGAAAUUGAUUUUGUUGUAAAACUAAACCUAGAAAUCCUAGAUAAAUCAUAACUUGACCGUUUUAACCCCAAUUUAAACCGUUCAAGUUGCAUUAGCUUCGUAAUAAAAUAUCCUACCCAGUGACAACAUUGUUGUACCGUAAAAUAUAUUUUAAGUAGAUAAUGGAUUAGCCUAUAUUUAGUAGAUUAAUCCUUCUAACCAAGGUUAAAUUAGUCCAUGAUGAUAAUUUGACUAAAAUAAGAUUUCUAACCAAGAUAUAAUCUAGGUUAAGGUGGAAUUAAUUAUUUAGAGUAUGUAUACUCAUAUGAUGUAAAUUAACCAAUUUAUAAUAUAUUAAUAUUCCAUCAUGUAGAUAUUCCGAAAACCAUAUCCAUUCAGCCGUAACUCCGAAUUCAGUGGUUCUCGAACCUACGAUCUCGUUAUGGCACGUAGAAUAUUAUCAUACAGUUUGUGCUUAUGUUUGGUGUCAUGUUAAUUUUGCUUAUACCCUGUUUGUUUGUAUUGCUACGACUAACAGUGAGGUCACGAGAAUUUAAAGAUCAUCCUGGUACCUAGAAUCUCGAGCCUCAGGCAAGUUGUGCCCUUGAUCACUUUUCUUUACCUAAUAAUGUUCCUGUUAAUCACUGUGACAUGCUCAUGUUAAUCUGAUGGGACCUAAUAGGUUUCCCUAGACUUAUUUACCCCACACCUUGUUUACCACUGAACUUUUGGGUAGUUUUGUUAUUGCUCUACCUAGUUUUGGGAUUAAUAUUGCAUUAUGAUCAUGUUCCAAUUAUACUGUUGUUUUAAUUAUUGUUCAUGACAAGAUCAUUGUGUUAAUUAGAACAUGGAGCUUAACUUGAGAAACGUGUGCUACCACAAGGGUGGAAUGGGACGCCCUUGGCUGACUAAUUAGGAAAGCUAGUGGAGGACUACCUUACCCAAAAGGGGCAAGGGCAGUAGGGGAGUUGCAUAUAGGGAGGUUCUCGGGUCAAUCAUGUUGCGAUGACUUUUCGAACGAGGGAUUUGGUGUUGUUAUUAAUUUGAUCUCUUACUCAUUUGGGUUGGUAUCUACUUAUACUUAGUAACUGCAAAUAAAAUUUUGACCAACUUUAAAAGCAAUGCUCAGCUUUAACCAUCUCCUUUGGUAAGCCUUACACUUCACAUGAGCUCCCACCUUUGAUGAGUUCAUGCACAUUAUUCCCCACAACUUGUUGAGCGAUGAACGUAUGUGAGCUCACCCUUGCUGUACUCACACCCCCCUAGGUCAAGGACAGGUACCAGAGGAUGAGGCGCAUGAAGGAUGUUGUGAUGAGUUCAUGAGUGGUCUAGGCCGUCGUCUCCCAGUCAACUUUGUGUUGCUGGAUCGUUGUCUUUGCAUGAUGUAAUUAUUUAACUAUUUUUUACAGAACUUCAUUAUGUAUAAAUGAUGUGACAUUUGUUUCUGUACCAUGAGUCAUCAUAUGUGUGAGACUUGGUCCCAGCACACUUGGUGAUUAUUUUCGUGACUGGGUUUUGGUGCCCCUAGAACCCGGGUGUGAUAGAAUUGGUAUCAGAGCUGACCCUCGUGGUUUCAUGGGCGUGUGUGGGUUAGGGGGUUCGGGUAUAUGGCGCAUGUGGGUCUGGAGUGGUCACGUGGCAUGACAUAUGAUGACACUAGACACACAGAUAUGGCUAAGAGGGAAGGUUCCUGGAUUGAGGUUGACUGACGAGGACGUCGGUCUUCUAAGGGGGUGGAUUGUGAUAUCCUGGCCCUUGAGAUGGUGAUAUCCUGGCCCAAGGCUUAAUAGAAUUAAUAGAGUAUCCAUACCAAUAAGGUGCAUCUUCUUUUUCGUAAGUCUUUCUCGAAAGAACCUCCAAGUUAAGCGUGCUUGGAUUGGAGCAAUUUGGGAUGGGUGACCGACCGGGAAGUUUUCUCGGGUGCGCAUGAGUGAGGACAAAGUGCACACAAAAGACUUGUGUUGGUCUGUGGGGACAAUAUAUGAUCCUAGCGAGUUGUCAGGAGUAAGUACUGUCGGUCCAGGGAUUGGACGGAGUGUUACAUGAUGAUAGCCCAAUUUGAGGUGAAUCUUAGAAAAUACUCGGGCUCUAGUAAGUUGGUCGAAUAAAAGAUCGAUCCUAGGAAGGGGAUACUUGUUCUUAAUGGUAGCUUCAUUAAAGGGUCGAUAGUCCAUGCACAUUCGUAGGGUUUGAUCUUUCUUCUUGACGAAGAUGGCUGGACAUCCCCAUGGCGAUGAACUUGGUCUGAUAAAUCACUUCUCCAGCAAAUCUUGUAAUUGUGUCUUUAGUUCUGCCAAUUCAUUGGGAGGCAUACAGUACGAUCUUCUAGAAAUAGGAGUCAUACCAGGUUUCAACUUAAUCACAAACUCUACGUCCCUCUCAGAAGGUAAUCCGGGUAAAUCUUCAAGGAAUACAUUCGGAAAUUCACACACAACCAGGAUGUCAUGUAUCUCUUGCACUAUGGCUCCAAAAGCUCGCCCGGUCGUCUUGACUGUGACAAAUACAGGGAUAGAUAACCUGACUUCUUCUUGUCCAUGACUUAGCUGAAUAGUCCUUUGAUUUGCAUUAAUAAUAGCCUUAUUUUUGGGCUAACCAAUUUAUACCCAGAAUCACAUGUACGUCUUGCCAUUUUAUAACUAUCGUAUUGGUGGGGAAGUCAUACCCUGCUAACUUCACGGGUAUGUGGAAGACUACUUUCAUAGUAAAAAUUUGACCCCAAGGUGAUUGAAUAAUAAGACCCUUUUUUGAUUCAAUACUAGGUAUGUAAUGCUUCUCAACAAAAGCUUUGCUCAUGAAAGUAUUCGAUGCACCAGAAUCAAAAAGAAUGACAGUGGGAUGAUUAGCAACGGAAAACGUACCCAUCAUCACAAGCUCACCUUCCAGGGUGGUAGCCACUUGAGUAUAGUAGACCCGUCCAGUAUUCCUUUCACCUUUGCCUGCCUGAGUGUUUGCCACAUUUCCCUUGCCUUGAGAUGUGCUUCCAGAAGCCUUUUGGAAGUUUGAUUUAUUUUGCUUCAGAUAGGGACAAACCUUGAUUAAAUGCCUAGACUUCCCAAUGUUGAAGCAGUUAUUAGAUGAACUCGGUAAGGCGGGGAAACGAGUACCAGGGGCACUCGGCUGAUUAUUUUGAGUAGGGGCAAUAGUAGGACGGAUGAAGACUGGUUGCUUGAAAGGAUAGGAGGGUGGAUGAGGAAAAGAGCGAUUUGGGUUAAAGGGACGGAUCAUCAACCUUGACCACUUCCCGGAUCCUUGAGAGGAUCCCUCACCCCCUUCACACCUAAAUCUUUUUAUCUUUUCCUGACCUGAAUCGUUUGCCUCCACCGAAAGUGCUGUUGUAAGUGAGAUCUAGACAGGUGGCCAUCUUCCGCUGUUGCUGACCAUUCAGACCUCUCAUGAAACAAUUCUUCUUUUUCUGGUCUAUGUCAACUUGCUCUAUAGCAUAAUGGAAGAGAUGGUUGGCAAGGUAUUGCAUCACAGAGUCUCCUCCUUUCUUUAAGCGAACAAACUCUUCUAAUUUCAUCUGUAGAGCACCAUCUAGAAUAUAAUGUUCCCUAAAUGCUUGCAUGAACUCUGCCCACGUAACAAGAUGACCUUCAGGUUGAACAGCUACAAAGUUUGCCCACCAGGUACUGGCGGGACCUCUCAAUUGUUGGGCAGCAAAUAGGGGCUUCUGGGUCUCUGUGCACCGAAUCAGUCCAAAUUUCUGCUCCAUAGCCCAAAUCCAUUCGUCUGCCUCCAAGGGUUCUUCUGCUUUAAUGAAGAUAGGUGGACGAGUUUCUAAAAAUUCCAUAUACGUGGUGUAUCUGGGGACUUGGUGUUGGCCUUUGCCUCCCUGCUGAUGAAUUUGAUUUCCAGCCAUUUCUCGAAGAAAGCGAGUAUUAUCAGCAGUGGCAUUAAUCGAAGCAGCAAUAGCCUCUGCCAGCGUGGGAGGUACAGGCGGUGGGAUCGGAGUUUCCUCCCCACUACGGGAAGUUCCAACCCCAUCAUGAGCACGAGUUCUGGACGACAUCUGAAGAAGAAAACAUACUUACUUAUUACAUGUCACAUUUACACAGCCUCUGUUACAUUAUUCCAAGCUUGUUCUAAUUAUACAUACUCAACUUAUACAACUCACUUUCCUUAUUUAGAUUACAUAAGGAAAUAGCCUACUACUACAAUAAUCUAGUCAUCUGCGUCCUUGGCUGCUCCUGCUCCACUGCUAGCUUCAGGAGAACGAUCAUCUGCAAUGUUCAUGUAAGGUGGGGCUCCAAAGAGAUCCAACUCCCCAUAAGGUCCUCCGCCAUCUGCUCCUAAUGCACUAGCUCCCAUCACCGCAACCUCUAGUGGCACGUUCGGAUGUAGCUGGUCAUACAACACGUGCACUUCCUCGUGCAGAGCAUUAUUAUACACUUGCAGAUUUUCCAGGGCUACGCUUAGCUCUUUCACCCGGGCUCGGGUAGUUGCCUUGCAAUCCUAGGCUAUAGAUCUAUCCUGCUCCACAACCUCCCGCUACAAAUGUUCAACCUCUGUUGACAACUCGGCGAUGCGGCGACUAUCACACGCACGCUCCUUGCCUCCAUGACGCAGUUCCAUCUUUAGACGUUCAACUCUAGCCUCCAGAUCCCCUAUGGGAUCAUUACUCCCGCUACUGCUCCCCUCAUAUCGAGGAGCCAACUGGUGCCGAGGUACACCCUGAGGCCUGGUCGCCUUCCACUAGGUAGUCUUUGUGCGUGCCAUGUCUCUAUAAGAGGGGAAGAUUACUUAGUAUUGUUUAAAUAUGAUGCAUGCAUGACCUAAGAUUAUGGAACCAACUACUUGUUGAUCCCAUACCCCCUAUAUAUAUAACCUAUUAUUUGGCACUCUAUUGCCCGACUUCUCAAGAGAUAAGUUGCUAUAAGGAAAGAUCAAGGUAAGAAUGAAAGAAUAUUCAAAGGUAAGGAUUUUAAAAUCUUUUGAAGAACUAAGUAAUGUCCGAAGGAAUGGGCUUUGCUCCGAUACCAGCUGUCACGGAACCUCCCAAGAUAUUAGGCCCACCUACAGAUGUCCUUGUCCUAAGGACCUCAGAAAGUCAUGCAGGUGCGAUCAAUGGCUCGGCAGGUCCGAUUACCUGUAUCUCCAUCACAUCGCCCAAGAGCGCUUAUCCCAUAACGCAGACAUCACACACCAUCGGAGUAAGCGGAAAAGAUUACAAUAACAUAAUUUACAUUCAUAAGUAUAAUGUAGAAAGAGUUUAUUAUUACAUAACCAGGUUCUGAGUGCUUAAACUUAUUAUGAUAGGAAGGCAAAACACCUUCCACAGGUAGUUCUUAGUUCUCCUCCUCCUGUUUCGGGACAACCUUGGAGCAGAAACAGCAAAACUCAGUAGUUUCAUCACCUACAACAACAUGGGUUUGAAAACCCUGAGUACGGAGUGUACUUUCGCAUGUCUUACCCGUCUAAGGAAAAAGACUCUCAAGGAUAUGCUGGCCUUUGGGAAUCAAGGUAAAGCUUAUCAAGAUUCAAAGACUCUUUUUGCUGAAAAGCUUACUAUGAGUGGAUCCUUAAGAAUUCAUUUUACUCAUGAGGUUAAGUAAUUACCUGCAUCUAGAUUCUCUUCUAUUCUUAGAUCAUGCACUUGGCCUAUACUAGCCAUCUUUUAUCGCCCCUUCAGUUCACUUGUUGCUACGUGUAGGGCAGUGACCAAGUCUUUAUGUCCGAGAAGUAACGGUGAUCCGAAUCGAUUAAUACCCAACUGGGGAUCUCUAACCACACGACAUAUGUAGCACUUAACCCUUUCAUAUGUCAACUCGCACCCGGGUUUCUCAAGACCAGAAUAGGUUCACGCCAACUGAGAGCACAUAUACUCCACCGUCUAACCUCUUGCCACGGAGAGUACAUGCUACUCUUGCCAUCUCUCCAGUCCCAUUGCGUGGUAGCCUUUCUGGUAUUGGUCCAACCGAGGCAAAGCUUACCCAUGACGAGGCAUGUGGCCAGCUAAAAGGUCCUCGAUCAUCAAGCCUACAUCGGCUCAGUCCUUAAACAACUCAGACGGAGACACUACACCGAGACUUCCUUCUCAUGCAAGUCACCCGCCCGGUCUCAUCUUUAUUAUUUAAAAACCCAAAGUUUGGUACCUGAUAGAGGUACACUUUUCAGAUGUUUCACCAUCACAAGUCUUUUCUUUGUAAAAAAUCCCCAUCUAGUGUGAAGCAUCACCUUUUUCAAAUCAAAACAUUUUGUUUUCUAUAGCAGGACUAAGCAUCAGAAAACUUGUUUAAAUAAAUCAGGUAACAAGGAAUGGUAACCAAAUUUUCCAAGGAAGGAAAUGUAUCAAUUGUUUAGCACACAACUCCUACUACCUAAUGCAUCAUAUAAGGUGAUAAAGAUUUUAAAACAAAAAGGAAAGGGAUAAUGCACCUGGGCUUGCCUUGUGUUGUAGGAGUUUUUGUUUCCACACUGCAAAUGUCGAAAUAAAAGUUGUUCUCCACUGGAGAAUUCUCGAUCUCGGAGAUAACUUAUUCCUCUACUACGGAUUCUUCCUCAUGUUCUAUACAAGCUAGUUAUUGGGUUUUCUGGUCAAACAGUGUCCAACCCAUUUCAAACAUGACUCAGGGUCUCUGACCAGCAUAUUAAACCUACCCAAAAAGUUUUAUGAUUUUUGAAUUACUAAACUAUUUCUAAAAUUCUAAAAGACUUUAUUUAAACACCUUUAAAUGCUACAUAAUUCCAGGUUUGAGAUAAAAAUCAUGGAAUAAUUUUUAUUAAAUACUACUUGAUUUUAGGAAUCUAACAAAAUUGGUCUCAUGAUUUUACCAAUUUUCUACCAUUUCUAAUAAAUUUCCUAAACUAAUGGCAAAAAGAAAAGGAAAAACAAUGAACAGGGUUGGGCUGAAACUAGUCCGGCCCGGCCCGCGGACGGCGAAACGCGCCUGCAUCCGCGCCCGCGGGAGAUCUUUUGCAUGGAACCCCCUGAGUAUUUGAAUAACCGAAGACCAAUACAAGAAAUUGUUUUUUGAGUCACAAACAUUUACAAAGAAAUCCCCCCUUUCUUUCUCCUUCACACGACUGGGUCCCCGACCACGGACGACGACACAAUUGCUCCGGCGAACUUUCGUAGGCCACCACACCCCAUAAUUCGAGCUCAAAGUUUCUCUCACACCAAAUUCAACUCUUGGCACUACUCUAAGGAUAAAAAAGCAGGCAUGAACUCUAUCCUAGAGCUCGGCCCAUGAGCACCCGCAGAACCGAAACUUUUACGAACUCGUUCCCAGUGACACAGCGUGGUAGCGUUCAAAUUGGAAGUACGAUAAGCUUCAGUAACUCACCAAGACUCAAGGACAAUGACCUGGAAGACAUGCGAAAGGACAGAGCAGUGGGUCGACGAGGGGAGUGUCCGAGACGGCGUUCCACGGUGGCGACACGGCGUUUCGGGGAUCUUGCUACGUUAGAGUUCAACCGGAUGGGCCGAUGAGCAUCACCACACGUAAUGGAACCUAAAACACCCACAAGCUCGACCAUGGUUACCUCAGAGAGCUCUGGCCACAGCAAGAUGCCUCACGGUGGUGACAGUGAUCGAUUUGGGGGAAAUUCCAAAUUCGCGGGCUACGGUGGAUGGAUUGAGGCGAGGAGUCGUUGUCACAACCGUAUUUAAGGGAUAAAGCCGGGUGCGUCUCAUAUGUGCGCCAAAGAAGAACAUCACAUAUAAUGACAAAGUGUAUAGAGAUAAAUGUCACAAAUAUCAUAAAUGUCAUUAUUACAUAGUGGAAGUCUUACAAAAAUAAAUGAUAAUAAUAAAAUGAACUAAGGUGCCGUUUGGUUCACAUAUUGGUAACGUAAUAGGUAACCAAUAACGUUAGAUCAUGUUUGUUUAAGUCCAACCGUAAUCGAUACCACACUACAAAUGGAUACCUCCUUAUUCAAAUUUGUUACCGCCGGUAUUCGAGUGUGAAUCGUUAACAUUACCAUUUACGUUACAUUUCGUGAACCAAACGGCACCUAAGUAUUAUUCCUUGGCACCACAAAGAUGACUGGGAGACGCCACCUAGAUCAACUCGUACUCCUCAUUGUACGACUCCUCCUGGACCACAUGUUCUUCUCCUGUUGGGGGGGAGGUUAUAUAUCGCAAGGGUGAGCUCACAAAAGAUCAUAGCUCAACAAGUUGUAAGGAAUAAUGUGCAUAGAAAUAGAACAGUAAUAAGAUCAUAGUCCUCCACUAGCUUUCCUAGUUAGUCAGCCAAGGGCAUCCCACCACCCUUGUGAUUGCACGUGUUUCUCAAGUUAAGCUCGAUGUUCCAAUUAACUUAGUUGUCUUAUCAUGAAUAGAAAUAGAACAGUAAUAAAGAAUGAUCAAGUGUAAUAGUUAUCUCAACCGCCAAAACCAUAUAUAGCAAUAGCAAUGACUACCCAAAAAUUCAGGGGUAAACAAGGUGAAAAGAUAACCAGACUAGGAUGACCUAUUGGGUCCCAUCAAUAUUAAGCCUAUGCAUGAUAAAAAUGAUUAUAAAGAAUAUUAUUGGGUAAAUAAAAGUUUUCAAGGGCACAACUUGCCUUCAAUGAGCUCCUGCUCAGCAACUUCUACCUGUUGAACACCUGGAUCCUCUAUGGCUUGCUUGUCUACUCGCAACAGUACAAACAAACAUGGUAUAGCAGAAAUUAACAUCACACCAAUCAUAAAUACAUAAUACAUAAUAAUAAUCUACGCAUUGAAACAAGAUCGUAGGAAAAAGAAUCACUAAAUUCGGAGUUACAGGUUGCGAGUUAUGAAUUUCUGAAGUAUUUAUGUGCUUGGUACAAAAUUAAUUGAGUAAUCAAUACUAAUAUGGGUUUCAUGUUAAAACAGUGGCAUUAAGUGCUAAACAAUAUUAUUACAAAAUUACAGGAACUAGAAUGGACUAAGAGCAUCUCCAACAACAAACUCUAAAAUAGAGUCCUAAAAUUUGAAAUAGGACCAUAUUUAGAAUGUUUAGUGUCUCAAAAGAAAUGUUUACUCCAAUAGUCAGGCCUUAAAUAAUGCUAUUUAGGAAAUAAAUCAUGAUAUUAGGAAAUAAAUGGUUGUAGAUUAAGUGGAAAUGAGGAUAGGGCUCCAGUAUAUGGGUACUAUAUUUAGGACCCGAGAGACCGAGCCCUAUAACCAUUUGAUGAAAUUUUAUAAAAUAGGGCCGCUGUUGGAAGGAUGUUUUAUGGUUUUGAGCCCUAUAUUUAAAAUAGGACCAUGUUUAGAGCCUCUCUUGGAGAUGCUCUAAAAAGAAGCUAAAAUGAAUUUUCUAGGAAUUAAUCAAGUUUCUGCAAUUAAUCUUGUGCUAAAAAUCAUUUCCUAAAUAAUUUCUCAGGUUCUAUUAAAGGUAUGGACUGCGCUCAAUAAUAAUAGAUAGUUCAGGGGUUAAUUUAUAAAGUGUUCGAGACUCAGAUUAACCCUCCUCAACACAUGAUGGCCGUGGGGUUAUUCUCAAAUAGUCUGAGUACGCUUCUGCAAAACGCCGCCCACGAAGAAGUACCGGUUGACACUGACCGCGCGAUUAGAAAUCUACUGCACAGAUCUCCUGGCGUUUGUGUGAACCGGUAUGGAAUCGCAUCCGUUGGAUCCGCGAUCAAGGGCUCUAGUUCGAUCACCCGAAAUCUACCCCAGGCCGUUGGAUCACCCGUCGACCACCCGGAUCAGACUAUUCAUUUACCUACCCGGUAAUCCUAGGCGGCCGCACGAUCAAAGUUCGACGGCACUGACCGUUUGUGCGAAGGAAACGCAGAUGUUAAUCAUGUCCAGCCAUCAGGACAUCGACGGUCCUAGGGCGUCUUCUACCUCCAGCACGCCGGUGUCAUUAGCGCACAGCGCCGCCGCCGCGCACAACCCGAGGGCCGCGCCGGUGAGGCACGCCAGUAGUGCCAUGUGCCCGACAUCACACGAGAUCUAGCGCCAAACGUAUUCAAGGACGUAGCCAACUGGUAGGAAGGCACUCAUCGGUGUUGCGACGAAGCUCUCCCCUACGGCAGUGCCGAAUCGCGACGGAGCCAAUCCGGUGAUUUCCGCCACACGCACACGCACACCAACGCCGGUACAAUUCAGGUCCCCCAGCGUUACGGUUGGAACCCACGACGGCACGCACAACCCUCUUAUCCUCCCCCUUCUCUCUCUCCUUCCGUCCACGAUGGCGGGUGGGCGAUCACAGAGUUGCCGGUGGUUUCAAGCGCGUUAGGAAGGGCACCACGUCGAAUAAGUACCCAAGGAAGUCCCGGCUGCGUGGACCCAGCUGGUUCCUCGGUGAGUCGUUGGGGAUUCGGCGGACGUGCGGCGCUUGGCUCCCAGAAAAAUCGUCGUGGUUGUUGAGAUAGUGGCUCGACGAGACCCGAUUCGGUGGCCCCAGUUGCCAGUGACACACCGGGGUACGGUCACGGCGCGAGUGGGGUCAAAGCGUCCCAGGGCCCAACGACCGGUGAGACCGCGGCACGCGCACGCGUCAGUGAUGCCUGAGAAGUGGCCUCGGCUCGUCAGCGGAGGCAGCGCCUGUGAUUCGUGGGCCGAAUUCUAGGUUUUUGGCCCAACCGCUUCCUAUCCCCUUGGUUAUUAAUUUGAAUUUCUGUUUUGUUUUUCCCUUUUUUCAACUAUGACUUUGUACCUAUUUUAUAUACAAAUUGAGCACACUGAUAUGGGAGGAUUUUAUUUAUUUAUACAUUUAUUUCUCUAUUUUAUAUAGUAUUUUCCUUUUCUUACCAAAUUCUAAUAUUCAAUUUAGGUCUUAAACCCUUAUUUGAUCAUUAUUGUAUUUUAUUACUAUUAUUAUUAUCCAUAGAUGCACAAACACAUAAACACCAACAUGAUGCACAAAUUAUUUUGGAUGUCACUAGUUAAUUGCUCAAUUUAAAUAUGGGGUUCUCAUGUGCUAUUAAAUAGAAAUCACACGAAUAAAGAGAUCAACUCAAUCUUCAUCCUUUUACAAAUUGGGUAUUACAGUCGUGCACUGGGCGCAUAACAAGAAUGCGGAACAUGGAGGGCACUCAAUUUAUAGAGGCCGGCUACGGGUGUUCCGAAUUUUGGACGAAGGCAAGCUUACGUCGGUGAAGAGAUGAGUCACUGGAGCUCAUCUACCGUGGCGCUCAAUGGGGUAAGGGCUCAGGGUGGUAAUUGGUCAUCUCUCCCGACCUACUGCGACGUGGUAACCUUGUCUAUGGCGUGGCGCAACCAAGAUCACCGGUGGCCACGAUGGCAUCGUCCGCUCGGCCACGUCGCAGAGCCAGUAAAUGUCGAUCGAUGAACCGGUGCUAGGGACCACAUUCACUGCCCUCCCCCCAUCUUUUCACCCCCAACGUUUAUCCACGCCAAGCUCACCGUGGUCUUUUCCGAUGAGCGGUGAGGUGCUCAGCGCCCUUGAUCUUUUUCAAAUACUGUACCAUGUCGAUUCCUUUCAGUACGUCUGAAAAGCAACUUCAGGGGCAUUUCUCUUCGAUUUUCAUUCAGCGAACCACCAACUCGACUAUACCAAAGUUGUUCCCCUAUAUACCAGCUCCAACUUUGCCAUAAGGAUCUUGAUCUGUUACUCCCUAGAUUAAGCACAAUUCGGCUCCAAAGUCUAUCAGAAAUCACUAACAGUCUAGUUUAAAUGCAAGACCCAACUGACAGCCCGACUUCUAGGGCAAUUUACCCCAAUUUCUAUACAGUUCUAGGGGUAAGUCAUUUAAUCAAACUUAGACUACUAUAUUAGCUCUACAACUUUGCUAUAAUGACUUAUAGCAAACCCUUCAUGGAUCAAAAUAUACAGAAGUCCAAAGUUGGCUCACUCACACUGUUUUCAGAUUUCAAAAUUAGGGUGACCCAUACACUUUUGCAAAUUACUCCAAGUUUCACCACAAAACAUGGAAAUACCCAAACAUGAAAUUUUCUUAACUUUUGUUACUCUAUCACUUUGAUGUAUACACCUUUGACUAAAAGUGCUUAGAACUUGAAAUCACCCAAUAGAGCACUAUUUAGGGUUUCAGGGUUCCAAAUUAGGGUUUCGAGUGUUCUAGGGUACAUGUGGCAAUUAAGCUCUCUAAGAUUAACAUUUCUUGAACAUUUCUACCAACUUGUUGAGAUCAUCCUUUAGUGCUCAUCUCACAAGACCGCAAGCUUCUAAUCCUUGGAGUGAGACACUCCCGCCUAGGGUCAAGGACCUCUUUUACCACAUCAAUUCAUCACCCAAGCAUCACAUCACAUGUUUGUUUUGAAAUUUUAGCCUAGUGGAUGCAUCCUAGGUGUAUCAUGCAUAACGAAAUGCCAAUGCAUAUGAUGUCAAGCCAAAGUUUUAGUUCUUGUAACACCAGGGGUGUUACAACGGCCUUAAUUUUCCAUUGUUUGUGAGGGUAGAUACGAUGUGUUUCGUUGAAUACCCCCUCAACUUCCUUUUCUUUGCUUUCUUUUGCUCUUAAGCGUUGAAGCUUGUGUUUUUUAGAUCAUGUCAGACCUGAUGGGCACUAUUGGGGCAUAGAAUACUUGGGGUCAGGUAUUUUGCUAUCGGCUUUAUCACCACUAGCCGUAGCAACUCCCUUCCCCAUGGACGAUUCACCAAAGGUAAUCGACCCUUCUGUUGGUCACUUGUUAUCAAAUGCUGUGAAUUAAGAACAAGGCAACACAAUUGUUAAGCAUUAAGGACCUUCAUCCUUCGAGGCAUUAUCUCCUUUCGGAUAUAACGAUCUUCAAACGAAGGUCAUGAAGGACACACCUUCAUGAUUCAUGAGAAUAAUAGUUCAUAGAGUUAAUAUAUGUUAUUCAUUCAUUCAUAUAUCUAUUCCAUGAUAUACAUACAUAUCAUGAACAUUAACAUAAUUUAUAUUACAUUGAUAUCUUCGGCUUGUUUGAAGGUGUUGACGUGAGAGCGAUUACAAUCCAGCGUGAAUAAUACAGGGGUACUGUUCAUCUAUUUAUAGGCAAACAUAAGGGUCUGUACGCUAUUACAUUUAUGCCUUCAAUGAUUACAUACAAAGUUUACAAAAUGUUAUAAGGGUAACAUCGCCAUUUGUAUUUAAUAACUUGAGCAACACCUUCUCCUCGCACUGUCCCGUUGUUUCGUCGUGACGAAGCCUGCUUUGAUGAAGCGUGCUUCAUUGUAUUUCCUUUUCAUUAUGACGAAGCCAUGUUGUCUACCCAUUUCACCGUGAUGAAGCUUGUCAGACGAAGCUUGCUUCACUCCUCUUGUGUUGUGCUGAAGCUUUUUUGAUGAUGAAGGUCCUGUAAUAUUCAGUAAUGUGCUGAAAGCAAAUGAUUAGCCGUGUUUUGAGGACCUUCGGAAGAAGAAGGCCCCCAACAGUAGCCCCUCGUAGUAUUAGUUUGUUUCUUUGUAACAAAUUCAGAGUGCGAAAUGAAUGAAGGCCUUCAGUCAAAGGUCCAAAAAAACACCUUCCCUUCGCUAGAGUAGCGAAACAUUCUACAUUGCAGGACCCACCGGUCAGUGGUGCUUUGCGUAUAUAUACAAGGGCUUGUGCUGAAAAUAUUUUUCGUGCUAUCAAGCUUUGUGUCGUGUUUGUCGUUUUAGCUUUCUACCUCUCCGCUCGCAAUUGUGUUUUGAGCUUUGACUUUUUGUUGUAAUCGUUGCUGCAAUGGCCGAAGAGAAGAAGAGCGUGGACCCCGUGCUUGCUAGUUUUAUGAAGCCAUGGAGAGGACCAACGUUGAGAAAAUCACUAAUGAAAUGUUAGCUGGGCUAUCUGGGGACUCAAGCAACAGCGAGAGUUUUGAUGUUGAGAGUGAGAACGAAGAUGCCGAAGAUCGACCAUGGAGGCCAAGUCAUGUUGUUUUCGGGAAAUCCACCGUUAAGAAAGGGCAAUUGAAACGAUGAAGGGCAAAUAUUUCCAUGAUAUAUCCAUAGUGAGGGCUGGAGAAGAGAGUACUGUUCCUCUUCCUGAAGCAGACAAAGUGGUGGUAUUUAAAAGUUUUAUGAAGGCUGGGCUUUGUUUUCCUUUGCAUAAGAUGCUAGUCGAAGUGUUGAAGAUAUUUGAGAUAUACCUUCAUCAGCUUACUCCUGAAGCUUUGAUUAAAGCCGGAGUUUUUAUUUGGGAUAUGAGGAGCUAGGGGCUGGAGCCAGAUGCCAACUGCUUCUGCAACAUUCAUGAAUUGUCCUACCAGAUGAAGGCAGUUGGAAAAGAGCAAUAUCAUAACAAAUUCGAAUGCUACAGCUUUGUGUACUGGUCUGAUGUGAGGUGUCAUGUGCCAACAUUUUGGAAAAAAUGGCCGGGCUCAUGGAUGAAGCAAUGGUUUUAUGUUAAAAAUGAUCUGAGUAAAAGAGAGGAUGUGAGGGGCAUAAUCCAGCACCCAUAUGAUCACACUUCGGUAUCAGGAGGCCUUCGAUCGCAAGUGGAAACGAAGCAUAAGCCUGUUUGAUGGCCUUCAACGCAGUGUGCACUUACAUUGGUAGCAGAGAUUUGGUUCAGGAGCACAUUUCUUAUAAGGUAUGGCCCCUUGUUAAUGACUGGGAGAUGCCGAAGGAGACUGCUGCUGGAUCCAGCGAAGGUGGCCUAGUUUAUCUGAAAUACACAUAUGGAGGCUAGCUCCUCAUUAAGCGUUGAGCCACGCAUAGGCACCACUACCACACUUUAACCACAGGGCAGCCCAUUGUGGUAACUUACCUUCUUACUUGAGAGCAGGUGUGUCGUUACAAGUACAUUACACUUCUCAACAUUCCCAUGUUUGUAUACCCAUACACAUCCAUGUGGUACUGAAUUCCAGAAAAAUAAAUACUCCACAUCACAACCUUCAUAUAUACAUAGAUAAAACAUGUAUAUAGUCUAGUGCCACAAUUGAGCACUCCCCUAAACCUACAUUUGUUCGGUCAUGCUCACACAUCUCACCUUACCUUGGGCAUCAGCCUUUACAUGACCAUCCAAGUGAAUGGCCCAAAAUAACAUCACACAUGUAUGCAAAUUUCCCCCUAGGUUGUGGCUUAGUGGUUAGCAUCUUAAACUAAGCCACCUUAUAGUCCUUAGUUUAACCAUAUAUUGUUUGCACUUUCACUAUCAGGCCUUGACUACACCUUCUUAAAUUUACCAAAAUAAUUUUGACUCUAAAUCCUAUUGAAGUUUAUCAAAGGAUUACUUUAAUAUCCAUGCUAUUGGGGGAUCGCUCCGAUACCAUGCUGUGAUAACCCUCCCAAGUUAUCAGGCCCACAUGCACCAAUCCUUGCCUUAAUGGCCUCAAAUGGCUAUGCACGUGUACCAGGUAACUUAACAAGGCUAUCAAGUUCAUCAACUUGAACUCAUAAUCCCAAGGAUCUCCCACAAAAAAGGUAUAUUACAGUAAUCACAUUUGAUACACACAUACAUUGGAGAUAGAGCGGAAGACUUUACAAACAUUCUUUACAUUUCCAAAACUCAAGUUUUAUUACAUAGCAAGAAUUAUUACAAGUACUGGUAGUACUCAUAGUGCAUAACAUAUUACAAUACCAGGAAGGUAGUAACCCUCCUAAGGUCACACAUAAACCUAACUAGCUCUCCUUCAGGGCUGGAAAAGCUUCAUGCAACAGGAACACCUAGAAUACUCCUGAUCACCUGCAACAUUGGGUUUAAAGAACCCUGAGUACGAAGUGUACUUUUGUAAGUCUUAUCCGACUAAAAAAAUACUCUCAAGGAUAUGUUGGAUUUGGGAAUCAAGGAGAGGCUUCUAGCAAGAAUCAACUUUAAUAGUUUGUAGAAAAGCUUACUAAAAUGAGUCCAUACUUUCAACAUUUUAAUGCUAGAUUAAGUAUUAAUAGACCAUGUAUGCAUCUAGUCUAAUUUUAUCAUCUCAUCAAUACAACAUUAUUUUUAUUUGUCAUUAUUCCAUCCUUACUUACGAUGCAAGUCAGUGAUCAAGUCUCCAUUAUCCGAGGAUAUAACGGCAAUCCGAAUCGAUUUACUCAGCUGAGGAUCUCUAACCACACGAUAUAUGUAGCACUUAACCCUUGCAUAUGUCAACCAUUCUCACAGAUCCUCCAAAACGUGAACUGGUCCACGCUACCCGGGAGCACACUACCCUACAAUCUAGCUACUAUGCUAGAAGGAUACACGCCACUCCCACCAUCUCCCACGCCCAGUGCACAGUUGUCUUUUCAUGUAUGGAAUAGCCGGGUUCAAGCAUACCCUGUCCUAUACCAGGGCAUGUGGCUAGUUAAAAUAGUCCUUGACCAUCAGGCCUACACUCAAGAUUAUCCUUAAGCAACCAAGGCAGAACAUCACCUGUUCCUAGCCCAUGUCUCGAUUUAAAUAUUUACAUCCUUAGGAUUUAUUUGUUUACCUUAGGAUGAUUUAAACGUCAAAGGAAACCUUGCAUUAGAUCUCCCAAUGAUCCUGUGAAAAUAUCCUUGUAAGUAGAGCCAUCCUUCCUAAGGAUAAACCCUGAGCUAGGCAUUAUUGCAAAGAACAAACUCUGUCUACAAGAUUUACCUCUAGUCGGGCUAAGAAAUUUUGUAAACAAUAUUUGGUACUUCCAAAGAAGUAUCUAUAAGGAAUGGAUAUCUAGGUAGUCAAUGCGUCAAAUGGUUUUCAAACAACUCCUAUAAACUUAAUGCACAUUUCACUAGACUUGAAGUAUAUAAAAGUCUUUUAAAAAUACAAGGGGUUGCAUGUACCGGGGCUUGCCUUAUGUUGUAGGAGAAGAUUCAAGAUCCUUCUACCACGAUAACCAGUUAGAUAGCUCCCAGCCACUGGAUGAACACGCACUAGAGUAGACCUUGUUUAAUAGACCUUCAGGAACCACUUCUUGAAUCUUCACUACUUUUGUUGGGAGCUCUACAUGAAAUGACAUGAUCAUGGAUGUUUAUGUUUAUGCAGUUUGCAAAGAAUAUAUUUUAAAGCAUUACAAGACUUACACCGCUCUAAAGGUGCCCAUAACACUAAAUAAACAACAGGAUACCUUCUAACAUGAGGAACUCUAAACGUUACACCUAACCUACACCAAGGAUCCAGAUUCCACUUGAUACUCUUGUUCCUUUACUCAAAUACUUAACCAGAUCUUUACUUAGGGAUUAAUAUUUUUGUGGUUCCUUCAUCCAACGACCAAAUUUCACUAAACUUACCUCUUUUCCAAAGCAUUAAUUCAUUUUGCAUUAGGGUUUUAUCUAAUCAAUUCUGGACCUUGCAAGGCUUUCUGGUCAAAAUGCUUUCAAACACCUCCAAACUUUUACCAAGUACUUAUAUUGUUCUAACAAAACUCUCCAACAAUUUCCAUAAUUUUUGGUGCUCAAUUCUUAUUUCAAAAAUUCCAAUAGACCUUCCAAAAGCACCUUUUAAUCUACCAAAAUUUGGGAACUGUCAUAAAAAUCUUAAACCAAAUCUAAACAGAAGCUCCUGAUUUUAGGAACCUAACAAAAUUUGUCCUACUAUUUUUGGAUUUUUCUACAAUUUCUUGCAUAAUUUUUGAGCUUUCUAAUAAAAGAAAAAGAAAACUGUGAACAGUUCUGGGUUUAAACUGUUUGCUCAGCCCAGAUACCAGGCAGACGUGGAACGGCCCGCGCUCCCGCACUGGCAUUAUUGCGCAAAGGCCCCUGCCGCCCAGACAAAACCAACCCGAGCUCACUUCACUAUUGCUCGUGUCACUGACUCUCACACUUAAUUCCCUCAGUCUAGCUUUAUUCACAAGGUCUCGACCAUGAUCCCCGUCGCCCUACUCCGGUGAGCAGGCACCAGACCGGCCACCGUGGUGCAUCGUAGGAGACGUCGAUGGAACCACCAGGGCCCCUACACUAUGGUGAACACGGGUAUCAACUCAAUUCGACCGCGGAGGUCCUGGAACCACACUGCCGACGGCGGUGGCAGAAUAGUCAAUCCGUUGAGCACGAUCUCGUGGUAGCAAUGCAGUAGCGUUCAAAUUUAAGGGCGCAAAGAGCUUCACUGACCUUCCAAGUCCUCAGUGCGUGCGUUAGAUCGGCCGGGGACGACGCAGUUUGAACGGUCAACGGCGAAGCUGACCAUGGCGACGACUUGCGGCGGCGUGAUGACGUUCUGGAUCACAUCUGGCGGUGGCAUUAGGAGUAUCAACUCAGUGAGUUUCAUUGGCCAAUAUGGAUUACCGAACAAGCCUCACCUGGGCAUGCAAAUCCUCGAGACACCCUGGCCACGGUGAGGUGAGCACACUGCUGGUCACCACUUCAGGCAAUGGCGUGCAAGGUUCAGAGACAGGGCAAAUCCUAGGACUGGGGAGAGAAUAAAUCUUGACUUGAUCUCAGGAACUUCAUGCUUACACGAGGGACAAAAGCCAGAGCUCGAGACAAGGAGAAAAGCUUCACUGGAACCAGCCCUAAGGCACUGCAUAUCUUUACUACUUAUUAAGAACCUAAUAGUAGUCUGCCUCUCCUGGUUCUGCCAUCUACGUGUUCUGCCUUCGGUCAAUCUCCACCGUUCGUGCCCCCACGCCCGCAAUCUACAUCUCCACUCCCGACUUCGUGCGUCACUCCCUGUGCCCCCUCGGUGUGUGUCGUCCACUCGUUCUCCUUCUCACCAACCGUCCCUCAUUGCCCCCCUCGCUUGCCCCAACCUCGCCGCCACUCUCCUCGCGCAAUGCGACCGCGCCACCGCUCCCCCCGACGCACCUCGCACGAUGUGCUCCCCCUGGCAAUCAAUGGCCUCGUCCGCGAUCGCUGCCCAAAUCUGCCUCACGCACGAGGGAGAAGACCGGAUCCGCAGCACGAUGGCGACGCGUAACAGGUUGUGUGCCAUGGAUCUGUACGAGGUCCUCCUCCUCACGACACGGCCGGCUCGCAGGGCAUCGACGUCCUCAAUCUAUCGAUGUGGAUCUGGUGGCACAUCUCUCUGCAGUGCCACACGGAGUAGCGAGGGCGGCGGGGCGAGAGGCGCACCCGACAGUCGCGGCGGACGCGGAAGGGGACAUGGAAGAACGCUAGAGAGGAUGGGGUCAGCGUCGAUGAGAUGGGGAGUGAGGUGGCGUUGCUCGUCGCCGCCACCACCGAGCUCUUCCUGGGCAGCCUCACGACAGGGGGCCACACAGCGACGACACGGCAAUUCUAGCACGCGGUCCGUGCCGUGCACGUCUGGAGCGCGGCCCGAAGAGGAGGCUCCCCGCGUCUGCAAGUUGUGGGAUCAAUCGGUGGUGCUGGGAGCGUCGGAGGAGAAACGAAGCCACUGCUGCGUGGGGCAUGCCGCAUCAUUGUCUUCUUCCACAAGGUCACAUAGACUAGAGGUGUCUCUCCUCUCUCUCUCUCUCUCUGCGUAUGCGGUUCCAAAUUGUUGAUCUAAAUGUUUAUGCUUAUCAGUGUCUUCCUCCAUGCUUGUGUUUGGCUAUGCCACUAAGGAAGCGGAUGAGGCAAUGUUGUUUAGACACAUGGUGCCAUCAAAGCUGUGGAAGGUCCUGUCGUGGCUCAAUGUCGGGACAGAGAAGAAGCUUGCUAAUGUUAAGGUUGUGGUCGAUCAGUUCAUCUACGAGGAGAUUUACAAGCGGAAGGCAUGGGGGAGCAACAAAAGCCAGGCAGAUGUACUAUCCAUGUACACGAAAUUGAGCUGGGAUCCCAGUAUGAGCGAGCAGCAAAAGACAGACUUCCUCCGUGAAAUGGUUGUGGGGUUCAUCAUUGCUGGGAAGGACCUCAUUGUCGUCAAGCUCACAUGGUUCUUUUACAUGAUGUGCAAGCACCCAAAAGUUGAGGCGAUGAUACUCGAGGAGCUCAAAGACUUGCAGAGCUGUAGGUGGCCUAGGUUCUGGACACACAACAGGACCUCUCUAGGGUCAUCCAAAUUAUUAUGGAGGACAUAAUGGUGUUUCAGGUCUUGUGCCCACUACAUGUACCAUGAUAGCUUAAGCGUUUACAUACAAAUUCUGGAGACAUUCGUUAUAGCUGAUGCGACAUAAUUAACACAGGCAAGUUCAUUACUGACUUACUAACAUUGUUUUCUUUAGAAUGUCUUGGAAGAGAGCGUAAAUGUUAGUAGAGAUGUAUCUGGAGAAGGUGUUCAACAAACAUUGUCGAAAAUCUUAGAAGGCACUUUAAGUUACUACAAUUGCCUUUUUGUUUUGUGGCUGUAGAAUUAGGAUUUUAGAAGCUAUCUUCGAUUCAGUUUUUUAUAAGGAUCUUUGAUUGACUUUAACUGUCUAUCAAGAGAAUACAAUAAUGAUCCUCUAUAUGUUGCCUACUUAUUCUUAAUGCAGGUUGUCAAUAUUUUUGAGAAAGGAUUGAGCAAGAAUUCUUGCAAUGAUAGUAUACAUGUUACAUACUCUAUAUGGCCCUUAAUGAAUACAUGCACUGUAUAUCAUAUGGGUUAAAUUUGGAUUCUAUUGAAUGGAAAGGAUAUCUAAAAUGUUUUUUCUUUAAAAGUGAGUUCACAUUUUUUAUAUUUGGAUAAAAAUCUGAUGCAGCAAAACAAACGAAGUUGAUGUUAUGGCAAGACUGCAUGCAGCUCAUAAUUUCUACUUGGAUAACUGAAAUUUAUAUGGAAAAGCUAAUUCAAUCUGUUGAGAACCAAAGGUAGUAUAUAAUACCUUCCCUGUUUUUAAGAUUCAUGUAUGAACCAAGUCCUUUAUGUGUAUUUUGUCAAUGUAAAAGUUUGGUUUACUUUUACCAUUGAUAGGUAUCACUGUGAUGUGGCUGAAGCAAGGUUAGCCACAUGCGGCUUAUAUAGGUUAUCGAUGUUCUGAAUUCACUCAUUUGCUGGGCCACUCAGUUGGAAUUUUUGCAACCUCUUGCAAUGGAGCGUGUGCAGUACCACAUCUCUGUCGAUGCUAAUGAUGUCGUCAUGUUUGUACGGCCAAACACUAAUGAUCUUAACCUCAUUAAGGAGCGUGUGUAGUACUGCAUCUCUGUCUCUGCUAUCCAUAUUUUGGACAUGUCAUUAAACUGCAAUCUUUUCAUUCUUGUAGCUACAAUACUUUGAAAUAAGUAGCAAUUACAAAAAUGGUUACUUACUGUGAUUUUGACAGAUAACAUUUUCUUUCCAAUCGUAGUAUCUCUUUUGUUCUUGUCAAAUCAGAUUAGUUCACUCCCUGCCUCUGUGUUCGAGUGGGCGCGGCUUUCUCGGUUGCAGGUACACCGGACAACAGUGUGGCUUGCUGAGCCUGCAGUGAGAAUGCGCCUAAUGGCUCUUCUGGUUGAUGGAUGCCGGGGACUGAGCAGUGGUGCUAUGGAUGGUGUGAUCCAUGGGCAAGCACAACACGGAGAUCCAAUGUUUCAGGAGUUUGCGGGCCGAUUACUGCGCUGGGUGUGCUCGUCGUUGUUUGAGAUGGUCAGGAGCUGGGUGCUAGAAGGGGAAUUGGAGGAUGUAUUUGCAGAGUUUUUUAUCGUUGGGCAGCCAGUGAAUUACCAGCCAGAAUGAAGGUGAUGAGAUGGCGUCAAAGGUAGCUUUUGAUCACCUAGAACGAUUCUCCGAAAAGUUCGAGUUCAGUGCAGACAACAUUGUGGUUCAGACAUGCAUGACAACUCUAUCCUCAAAGAUGUAAGUCGUAACAAAUCUUUGACAUUCUGUUCCAUCAUUCAGCCUUUGUGAUUCAGAUCUUUUCAUUUCAUUUAUGUUGUUUGGUAAUUCCUACAUCUAUGGUUAAUAUUUAAUAUUUUUUCACAGAAGUGAUGUGAUUUUUUCUCUGUGAAGUGCUGUUGCACCACUUUUUGUGUUGUUUUGGUAAAAUAGGAAAAAACUUUGUUAGGGAAGUAGUAACUUUUCAGGGUUUUCUUUUCUUUAUACGGGCCAACCAAACAGAAAUAAUUUUGGAGAUUUAAUCGGUUCUCACAUGUCAUUAAUCCUUAUACCAAACACACGAACUCAUAUCCAAGCAGGACUGUAACGAACUGUUUGGGAAAGACCAGGUAGGCUUUUAUGUUUUAUCGUCACAUUGCAAAAUACCCUUUAUUCAGAAGGCCUAGCUCAUCUUUCCAUUCCCUUUAAUGAUAGCUGAAAGUAGAGCUGAAGAAGGGGCAUCUGUUUGAAGGAUGGACUGAAGGGGUCAUCAACUUUUGGGUGCUAUUAAAGUGUCCAUAUACCAAACACAGUUUUGCUUUAUAUGUUGUCACCUGACCUAUGGAGAAAAGGAAGGAGAUGAACUAAAAAGGAAUGCUGAUGUUCAAGAAAUCCACCGAAGGACAAUAUUUAAUCCAGUUUCGAGAGUCAACAUGCCUAAAACGAUAUAUGAUCAUGAGUGAGUAAUAGAUUAUAUAUUGUUUCUGGUUACCUAUACUUUUUAGUUCAUUUGGUACUUAUUUUAAUAGUUGAAAGGAACAAAGCAUUAUCUUUAGCCAUUCUUGAAUAUUGCAAUGCUAUUAGAACUUUUGCUUUCAUAGUUUACCAGUUCAGUUCAUGGUAGCUAUAUUUGGUGACGCAUUGCAGUUCAGCUUGUUUUAGAAGGAAUGUAUGGCUAGGUGAUCUCAACUAUAGGAUCAACUUACCAUAUGAGAAGACACACGAACUCAUAUCCAAGCAGGAUUGGAACGAAUUGUUUGGGAAAGACCAGGUAGGCUUUUAUGUUUUAUCGUCACAUUGCAAAAUAUCAUUUAUUCAAAAAUCCUAGCUCAUCUUUCCAUUCCAUUUAAUGAUAGCUGAAAGUAGAGGUGAAGAAGGGCAUCUAUUUGAAGGAUGGACCGAAGGGGUCAUCAACUUUCCUCCAACGUAUAAGUACAAGGUUAACUCAGAAAAGUACAUAAGUGAUGAUAACAAAUAUAGAAGGAGAACACCUGCAUGGUAUAUUUUUGUUCUAAACUUACACUAAUGUCUUAACAGUGCAUACACGAGUCAAAUCUUCUUGCAAAUAUAACAAAAGUAUUUAGUAAAUUACCAUUUAUGUUGGCGGGUUAUUGUAUUUGUAUGCGUAACAUGAAAUUCAACAUGUGGUAGAAUGGGUUGUUGGUUUUUGACAGCUCAUCUUGCAUAGCUGUACCCCUUGAAUUAGGGGAGUUAAGCUCAUUCAAAUUGACAAAAGUACACAAAGUUUAUUACACUUUAAUGGAACAUCAGUAUUAAUAAUAAAUCAGAGAUAUUUUGCUUGUGGUUUAUAGUCUUCCCUGACUACCAGUACAUGCAUAAGCGGUGCACUUUGUCACCAAGUAGUUUAUUUUUGGCCUAAAUUAGCUCAAUUUAGUUUCUUCACAAAGUAAUGCACCGUUUUCUAUGAAACGGAUUAGUUUCUUCACAAAUCUCUACUACUUAUUAAGGCUGCAAUAGUAGUCUGCCUUUGACGUGUUCUGCCUCCACCGGCCUCCUACCGUGCCGCGCAAAAAGCUUAUCUUGGUGUCGCACCAGAGCAGGAGAGGUAGGACUGAGCAACAGGCUAUCCACAAAAACGCUUAUAAGACACGUUCCAACUCUUUCAAUAGCCGGUAUGGCACUAAUCAAACAAACCCUAUAACAGUGCUAGCGAUUUGUGAGGCCCAGCGGUUCGUGUGACCCAGCGAUUAGUGCGGCCCAUCGUCCCUCGCAUAACAAUUUGUUUACCACAUGCAGCCCAGCUUCCCUAUGCGAACGACGCACGACGCCUGUCAUCCUCUUCGGCAACCUCUGCCUCCAUGACGGUGCUGCACGCACGAGCUCCACUCCCACGACCUCAACCGCUCCCGCCAACUCUGCCACUUCCGCACGCUCCCUGUGCACGCCCUCACUAAUCGCCCAUGGCCGAAACCCCUCGCCCCACCCCGUCUCUCCUCUCGACGUGUCGGAGCUCACCCCUGCUCCCCGCAGUAAGCCACCGCGCGCCCUCAGCUCGGCUACAGCGCCUGCUCCUCUUUGGGGCCCGCUCCCUCUGCGGCAUACUCGAUGCAUCGCGAGAUCGGGGCCCGCUCCUCCCGGCCGCGCCACCGCCGUCGUCCCCCUCCUCGCUCCCGCUCCACCUCACCGCGCCGGCCCCCGCGCCACGGCGGUCGCACCAGACGCCGACGCCGCCGCACUCCUUCCUGUCCCCCGCCGCGCAGGCGCUGGUGCUCGCCAUCUCCUCGCACCUGCUCCCCACGCUCGCGGCCUUCCUGGCCUCUUGCCGCGACGAGUUUCUCCGUGCGGACAUCAUGUCCCUGCUCAAGGCGCUGGAGCUCUUGGGGCACUGGGAGUGGGCGCUCGCGCUCCUCCGGUGGGCCGGCAAGGAGGGUGCCGCCGACGCGUUAUAACAAAAUUGGAGGAGAUCGCGAAGGUGAAGAGCUUUGUAGUUCGGCGGAAGGACUGGUGGGUUAGCUUGGAAGGCACGAGAGAAAGUGAAAAGGGUCCAUUGACAGUCGGGGCUGAAGUAUUUGAGCUCACACCAAGCCUUGUGGUCGUGGAGGUGAGGAUGAAGGCAGGGGACAGGCAAGAAUAUGAGGAUUUUUGUGAGAGGGAGUUGAAACCUGGGAUGCAGCACCUGGUGCACCAUACAGCCUCGGUUCCAGAUAUACCUUCUGAUACUGAUUAGCUUAAAAGGUAGUGUGCUCUUGAUUGGAAUGAUUGUGGUGAAGAAAUUUGGAUUGAAAGGAUGCACCUUUCUGUUUCAGCGUAAGCAUCUGUGCAGGAAAAUGUUAUUCAUAGAUUUCCGUAGUUUUUUUGUUAAUAUUCUUUCUGCAAUCCAAAAUGUUUUGCGAUAGUAGUUUUGUGCUAAUACCAAUUUAUCAAUUUUUUAGUUGUUAAAGUUUAAAAUUAUCGCCAUUUUACUAUAGCAGUAUGAAAUCUAUAACUCUGAUGUUAUUGGCCAUGUAACUGUGCUACAAUUAUGUACAUUCAGCUUAUACAAAUGUCAUCUGUAAUUUUUUUUUGAAGAAGGAACAUUGACCUUGGUGUGUACAAAAGACUAAAGAGUGUAACUUUAAGCUAUAACUCAAAUGUUAUUACACAUGUAACUGUGCUACAAUUAUGUACUUCAUCUUGUACAAAUGUCAUCUGAGAAGAAGGAAUAUUGGUCUUGGUGUGUAGUGUAACUUUCAUAUAUUCAGACUUUUUUUGGGUGGGUUCAUGAACUCUGGAAUCACAGUAUUAGAAUUUAAACGGUCAUUGGUUCCCUGCUGUUCAGCUUCACUACUUUAUUAAUUGAAAAACAUUCUAUUAGAUCCAACUGAAAUAAAACGACAGGCGGUUAAAAGUGUUAAUUCUCAAAUUCGAUGUGUUGCUUCCUUACUCAUACUUAUAUUAUGGUGUGUAACUCUGUACAAGAUUAAAUGGUUGAAAUGCCCCACCGGUGCAUCUUUUGGUUUCGGUGGUAAACUUGUUUCUUUCCAUCCGGUGGCACCCACCCAAGGUGCGCAAACAUCUACAUCUGAGGUAGUUAUUCUUUGUCAGUGUUCUGUUUUCUGCUCCUCUUCAAGUUCCUGUGUUUAUGUUAUGUUUUUUAUAGGUACAUGUGCACAAUUUGGUGAUUGAGCAAAGUCUGGUGAGCCGAUCAACUGAAUUUGAAGCUGCUAUUCAGAAUGGCGACAAAAGUUCGCUACGUGCUCUGUGUGAAAAAAAAUCACAAGAAUCUUUGUAGGUGCUUCUUUAGUAGAACUAAUACUGAUAUUUGCAUGGAGACUAACUUUAUGUGAUGCAUGUUUGAUCAGAUCUGACGAGGAGAGAGAAACCUGGGGCUUCUUAAGGGUUAUGUUUGAGGACGGGGAUUUUGCAAGGACAAAAUUGCUUGCUCAUCUUGGCUUCGAACCACCUCAGGCACCGCCUGCAAGUUCAACUGAUGAAUUGAGCCAAAUAUUGGCAGAUACACUUAAUAUUGAUCAUGCUGCAGUAACCGAUAAUGCGGAUGCCCAGUUUCUUAUUGAUAAUGGGGAUGAUUUUUUCAACAAUCCUCAACCUUUAGAGGCUAGCUUGGCUGAAGAAUUAGUUUCUACAAAUGGUCAACAUAUAGAACAGGAAGUUUCUGGAGAUGCGGUGCCAUCAGAUCCAUCAAUUGACAAAAGCAUUCAACAUGCGUUGGUGGUUGGAGACUACAAAGGGGCAGUUAACCAGUGUCUUGCUUCUAAUCGUAUGGCUGAUGCUUUGGUUAUAGCCCAUGCCGGUGGUUCUGCUCUCUGGGAAAGCACAAGAAAUCAUUAUCUCAAGAACAGUAUCUCACCCUACUUAAAGGUUUCAUUUUAUUUUCGGUUUUGAAUAUCUGUAUUUAUUUGUACAUAGUAAUUUUCAUAAUCACCAUUGUUUAUUGUUAUACUGUUUCAAUUAUAGGUUGUCUCUGCUAUGGUGGACAAUGAUUUAAUGAGUUUUGUGAGUACCUGGCCACUAAGUUCAUGGAAAGAAACUCACGCCCACCUAUGGACCUACCCCCUCGCCUCACAGCAUGGCCGCUGGCUUGGUGUCGCCCCCGACCAAGGUUAUUAAGGCGUUAAGGCGAGACAUGGCGACCCACCCCCUUCCAAACGCCUAGACGAGUUAGGCGUGCGGCGAGGCGACGCCACACGAGCAUGGGCACUCGAGUCAAAGAGGUGGUACCUGUUGGCUUGAGAAUUCCAGUGAUGAGGUAGCAGAGAAGUAGGAUGCCAUAACAUCUGGUGUUCUGAAGAAGCGGCAAAAGGACUUGCUGAGCGGUUUGAGUAUUUGUAAUGUGCCUAAACUUAAAUCAGAGAUAAGGCUGCUGUUAUGAGGGAUAAGUGAGCCAUUCAUAUUUUAGUGAUGUGGCAUGGUAUUCUUUGCAGAAAUCUCAUCUUUGUGUAUAGAUUAUGAAACAUUUUUUUAUAACAAUGUAACACACAUUUUGUAUAUAAGUUAUCAUUGUAUUAUAUGUUCCCGUUGCAACGCACGGGCACUCACCUUGUAAGUAAAUGUCCCUGAUCCUUUUCUGAUACUUGUCCAAAACUCAGGGGAGAGAUGUUCUCAGGUUGACAGCACUGCAAGACUUCACUACAUGGCUCCCAUGCACUAAGACCAACACCAGCACACAAACAAAGCUGGGACAUUUAACUUGGUCUACUCACAACACAAAUAUCAGUUGGGGAUAAGCUCUAGCAGGUUCAAGGGUUUGAUAUUCUGUCCAGCAGAGGAUAGGGUCUCUAUCUAUCAGUUAUACACUUCAUACAUAUCGCAAACACUACUCACUAGAAUCCCCUUUUGUCCCCUACUAUAGACAACAAACAAAAUAAUUAAACACUCCACUGCUCACUGCUCUAAAAUAAUCUAAAAUUGAUAUUUAUAGUGGAGAAUAAGGCCUCUAGAACCUGAGUCAUGCACUCCAUCCAUAUCUCCACCCAUGCAACCAAGUGACACCACAACAAGGAGAGGAGAUCUUCUUUAGUUUGUCCCUUUCAGCACUGGUCGACUGAAGCAGCACUCACCUCUCUAUUGCACCCUCCCUGUUUAGCCCCUGGUAUCACAUAGUUCUAUGUGACAACAUAUCAACCUUGGAUAAUAAAACUUAUUCCUUAGACAAAGCUUUACCGACUUGGUAUAACACCUCUAGACUAGAAACCCAUAGAGCAAAUGUUAUGGUACCUCAAAGUUGAGCAAACCUCACUGAAACACAGUUGCAGUUUAAUCAAAAGCCUGACACGAAGUUUUGGCACUCCUUGUUCUCUAAAUUCUACACAGUAGCAAGCCAACUCUUUGCACGAAACUUGCUCUCCUUCAGUUGGUCUUUGACUUUCACAUAGAGCUCUUAAUAAAAAUCUCCAUGGAUUAUUUACCACAGAGCUCCAAAGGUGGGUAAAAACACACAAACUCUCAACAACAGUCAACUAAGUCCUCAUACCUUUGGUCUGACAGAGAAAGUUUGGAGGUAUUUUACUCCCAAUUUUACUUAGCACUAAGUCUAUCUCACAUUAAUAAACGUAUUCACCUUAUUAUGGUCUACAACUCUGUUAUAUACUUCUUAGUCCAAAACCUCAGGGAUUGGUCAUAAAAGAGCUUCAAACUGGGCACCCAACACUGAUUUUCAGGUUUCAGUGAUCUACACAAAGUUUAGUUACAGCAACCCUAGCAGCUGAUCUCUGGGUGCACUUUACCCCACUUUCAUAUAGGAUAAAGCUAUACCCUCUAAAUGAAAGUUGUUCACCAUCAUAUGAUCUUCACUUUCUCUAUAAACAACACAGCCCAAAACCUUAGAGGUUAGGCACAAAUAAGCUCCAAAAUAGCACUCACAACACUAAAUACCAGAUUCAUUUACUACUCACAAUCUGAAAUUUUGAAAAUCUGCCAGCUCCACUAUGAACUACUUUUUCUCCUAGUUGCAUAUGGUUUUAGGGCUAUCCACUUAAUAAACAUUGUUCUCCUAUAGUUACUCUACAAGUUUAUUAUAGCAACCUUUUACCAAAAGUCCUCAUGUUAAAAGUUACUAGGGUUCAAAAAGAGGUAAAUUAAACUGUUUUGAGCUGAAUCCAAAUUGACCAAAUCUGAACUUUUGAAAAUUACUCCAAAUUUUUCGGCACAAGUUGGAAAUCUCCAAAUAAGAAAGUUGUUCUCUUUUCCAAGCUCUACAACUUUAGUGUAUGACUUUUGCCCAAGUCUCACUAGAUCUUGAAUUCCUCAUUUGGGUCAGUUUAGGGUUUCAAAUGUGGUUCCUUUUCGUCAAGUGAUUCUGAAAGGGAAAUGUGCUCUUGGGUCAUUUCUAAGUAUUUUGGUGAUUAAGUGACCAACACAAAUGGUUAUGUGUUAAACUAUGUCAAAUGGUGGACAAAGUGCAAAUCAAUACAAAAGCAUGAUUCUAGAUUUAGUACAUUGGUUUUUGUGUACUAACAUAUUUGUCUAAGUGCUAGAAUCAGAGAAAAGACAAAUGGAAAUGACUUGGCUCAAGCAGCCAAGGCUCUGCUCAGUCUGGUGCACCGGACUGUCCGGUGGUGGCUGACUUUGGUGAAAAGGCUGCUCUCGGGAUUUCGACGGCGGCGUACGGCUAUAAAUCACCGGACUGUCCGGUGGUGCACCGGACUGUCCGGUGAGCCAACGGUCGGCCGAGCCAACGGUCGGCCGCGCAAUCCGCGCGUGACGCGUGGCCGGGCCAAUGGUCUGAUGGGGGCACCGGACUGUCCAGUGUGCACCGGACAGUGUCCGAUGCGCCAACGGCUCCAAAUCAUCAACGGUCGGCUGCGCCAGAAUAGGAAAGAGAUCUGCACCGGACAAUGUCCGGUGGUGCACCGGACUGUCCGGUGCACCAGUCGACAGAAGGCAAGAUUUGCCUUCCUGGAUUGCUCUCAACGGCUCCUAGCUGCCUUGGGGCUAUAAAAGGGACCCCUAGGCGCAUGAAGGAGUACACCAAGCACACUCUAAGCAUUCUUGAUCAUUCACACUCCGUCUUUGCGCACUCGAUUGGCAUUCUUAGUGAUUUGAGCUCCGUGUUAGUGGUGAACCUUGUGUUAUUCUUUUGAGCUCAAGUCUUGGCUGUGUGUGUGCGUAUUGCUGUGGAUUUGUGUGUGUUGCUUUUCCCACUCUUACAUCUGUGCUUCUUUGUGAUCAUCUCAUUGUAAGGGCGAGAGGCUCCAAGUUGUGGAGAUUCCUCGCAAACGGGAAAGAGUAAAGGAAAAAGAACACCGUGGUAUUCAAGUUGAUCAUUGGAUCACUUGAAAGGAGUUGAGUGCAACUCUCGUCCAUUGGGACGCCACAACGUGGACUAGGCAAGUGUUGUACUUGGUCGAACCACGGGAUUAAUAUCUGUGUCUCUUGUGCUUGUUCUCACUGUGUCAAUUGUGGUUCACAAGAGCUCUCCUUAGCCACUUGAUUUUAUUGUGCUAACACUUAAUCAAGUUUUGUGGCUUUAAGUUUCAAGUUUUUACAGGAUCACCUAUUCACCCCCCUCUAGGUGCUCUCAAUUGGUAUCGGAGUCGUUCUCUUCAAGAAAGGGACUAAUCGCCCGAAGAGAUGGAUCCUAAGGAAAAGAGGAUGGUGGUCAACGACAAUGAGAAGGAGUUCAUCUUCAACGAGCCAAGGGACGACAAAGUCAAUGACUCCGGCUCGAGUCAAAAGAAGAAAGACAGAAAGAAGAAGAGGCGCAUCAGGAAGGUUGUCUACUACGACAGCGACGAAUCUUCCUCUUCUCAAAAGGACGACGAAUACGAGGAGAAAAAGAAAACGAUUAACUCGAACUUUUCUUUUGAUUAUUCUCGUAUUCCGCAUAAUUCCAAUGCUCAUUUGCUUUCCAUUCCACUUGGUAAACCCCCACACUUUGAUGGAGAGGACUACGGAUUUUGGAGUCACAAAAUGCGUAGCCACUUGUUCUCUCUUCAUCCAAGUAUAUGGGAGAUAGUAGAAAAUGGAAUGAAAUUUGAUAGUUCGGAUAACUCCAUGUUUAUUAAUGAACAAAUCCAUAAAAAUACACAAGCUACUACUGUUCUUUUAGCAUCUUUGUGCAGGGAAGAAUACAAUAAGGUGAGCGGCUUAGAUAAUGCCAAGCAAAUCUGGGACACCCUCAAGAUCUCGCAUGAGGGGAACGACGUCACCAUGCUCACCAAGAUGGAGUUGAUGGAGGGCGAACUAGGAAGGUUCGCAAUGAUCAGGGGAGAGGAGCCAACUCAAACGUACAAUAGGCUCAAGACCCUGGCCAACAAGAUAAGAAGCUAUGGAAGCACGAGAUGGAUGGACCACAACAUCGUCCGACUUAUGCUAAGGUCUUUUACUGUCCUUGAUCCUCAUCUUGUAAACACUAUUCGCGAGAAUCCUAGGUACAUCAAGAUGACGCACGAGGAAAUACUCGGAAAGUUUGUAAGCGGGCGAAUGAUGAUCAAGGAGGCGAGAUACGUUGAUGAGGCGUUGAAUGGCCCAAUCUACGAGCCUCAAACCAUUGCUCUCAAAGCAACAAGUAGCAGGGAGACGCUACUAAGCAAGGUGGCGCAAGUUGAGGCGGCCGGGCUAAAUGAAGAUGAAAUGGCCCUCAUCAUCAAGCGCUUCAAGACGACGCUCAAAGGUCGCAAGAAGCACCCCAACAAGAGCAAGACGAAGGGGAAGCGCUCCUGCUUCAAGUGUGGUAAGAUUGGUCACUUUAUUGCUAACUGUCCCGAUAAUGAUAGUGACCAGGAAUAAGGAAAGAGCGGAAAGUGGGAAAAGAAGAAGACCUACAAAAAGGCGAAGGGCGAGGCACACCUUGGAAAGGAGUGGGAUUCGGAUUGCUCCUCGUCCAACUCCGACAAUGAAGGACUCGCCGCCUUAGCCUUCAACAAGUCGGCUCUCUUCCCCAACGAGCAUCACACAUGCCUCAUGGCAAAGGAGAAGAAGGUGAAUACUAGAAGUACUAUUACAUAUGCUUCUUCAAGUGAUGAUGAGUCUAGUGAUGAUGAAGUAGAUUAUGCUAGUUUAUUCAAAGGUUUAGAUAGAACUAAAAUUGGUAAGAUCAAUGAAUUAAUUGAUGCCUUGAAUGAGAAAAAUAGAUUGUUAGAGAAGCAAGAAGAUCUUUUAUAUGAAGAGCAUGAUAAAUUUGUUAGUACACAAAAUUCUCUUGCUCUAGAAGUUAAAAGAAAUGAAAUGCUUUCAUGUGAACUAUCUACAUGCCAUGAAUCUAUUUCUAGCUUAAACAAUAUUAAUGAUGAUUUAAAUACUAAGUUAGAAAUAGCUAAUAAAUCAAGCUCUCUUGUAGAACAUGUUAUGAUUUGCAAUAGGUGUAAGGAUUUUAAUGUUGAUGCUUGUAGUGAACACUUAAUUUCCAUUUCCAAAUUAAAUGAUGAAGUGGCUAGUCUUAAUGCCCAACUUAAGACUAGCAAGAAUGACUUUGAUAAACUAAAAUUUGCAAGGGAUGCCUACACUAUUGGUAGACACCUUUCUAUUAAGGAUGGUCUUGGCUUUCAAAGGGAAACCAAGAACUUAACAAGCCAAAGAGCUCCCAUUUUCAACAAGGAAAAAGGGAAGGCUCCUAUGGCUAGUAAUAAUCAAAAAAAAUCAUGCAUUUAUUUAUGAUAAGAAAUUUUCUAGAAAUGUUCAUCAUGAUAGGAGUUGUAAUGCUUAUGAUUCAAAUGCCAUGAUUGCUUCAAGUUCUUCCUUUAUGCAUAGUAGAGAUAUGCCUAGGAAAAAUGUCACUCAUCAUAUGCCUAGGAGAAAUGUUGCUCAUGUACCUAGAAAAUCAAGUAAUGAACCUUCUACAAUUUAUCAUGCUUGCAAUGCUUCUUUUGCAAUUUGUAGGAAGAAUAAGAAAGUGAUUGCUAGGAAAUUAGGGGCAAAAUGCAAGGAAGAUGAAACUUGCAUUUGGGUCCCUAAGACCAUUGUUACUAACCUUGUAGGACCCAACACAAGUUGGGUAGCUAAGACCCAAGCCUAAAUUUGCCUUGCAGGUUUAUGCAUCCGGGGGCUCAAGUUGGAUUAUCGACAGUGGAUGCACAAACCACAUGACGGGGGAGAAGAAGAUGUUCACCUCCUACAUCAAGAACAAGGAUUCCCAAGAUUCAAUCAUAUUCGGUGAUGGGAACCAAGGCAAGGUUAAAGGACUAGGAAAGAUUGCUAUUUCAUCCGAGCACUCCAUUUCUAAUGUGUUUUUAGUUGAGUCGCUCGGGUAUAACUUGUUGUCCGUUAGUAAACUUUGUAAUAUGGGUUAUAAUUGCUUAUUCACAAAUGUAGAUGUGUCUGUCUUUAGAAGAAGUGAUGGUUCAUUAGCUUUUAAGGGUGUACUAGACAACAAACUUUAUUUAGUUAAUUUUGUAAAAGAGGAGGCCAGUCUAGAUGCAUGCUUAAUUGCUAAGACUAGCAUGGGCUGGCUGUGGCAUCGCCGUUUAGCGCAUGUGGGGAUGAAGAACCUUCACAAACUUCUAAGGGGAGAACAUGUGUUAGGUCUAACAGAUGUGCCUUUCGAAAAAGAUAGACCUUGUGCAGCUUGUCAAGCAGGUAAACAAGUAGGAAAUGCUCAUCACAGCAAGAACGUGAUGACUACAUCAAGACCCCUGGAGCUGCUGCAUAUGGACCUCUUCGGACCCGUCGCCUACCUUUAGCAUCGGGGGAAGUAAGUAUGGUUUAGUAAUUGUUGAUGAUUUUUCCCGCUUCACUUGGGUAUUCUUUUUGCAGGAUAAAUCUGAAACCCAAGGGACCCUCAAGCGCUUCCUAAGGAGAGCUCAGAAUGAAUUUGAGCUCAAGGUGAAAAAGAUAAGGAGCGACAACGGGUCCGAGUUCAAGAACCUUCAAGUGGAGGAGUACCUUGAGGAGGAAGGAAUCAAGCACGAGUUCUCCGCUCCCUACACACCACAGCAAAACGGUGUGGUAGAGAGGAAGAACAGGACACUCAUUGACAUGGCGAGGACGAUGCUUGGAGAGUUCAAGACGCCCAAGAGGUUUUGGUCGGAAGCCGUGAACACGGCUUGCCACGCCAUAAACCGGGUCUACCUUCAUCGCCUCCUCAAGAAGACUUCGUAUGAGCUUCUAACCGGUAACAAACCCAAUGUUUCAUACUUUCGUGUAUUUGGGAGUAAAUGCUACAUUCUAGUGAAGAAAGGUAGGAAUUCUAAAUUUGCUCCCAAAGCUGUAGAAGGGUUUUUGUUAGGUUAUGACUCAAAUACAAAGGUGUAUAGGGUCUUCAACAAAUCAUCGGGUUUGGUUGAAGUCUCUAGCGACAUUGUAUUUGAUGAGACUAAUGGCUCUCCAAGAGAGCAAGUUGUUGAUCUUGAUGAUGUAGAUGAAGAAGACGUUCCAACGACCGCCAUUCGCACCAUGGCAAUUGGAGAUGUGCGACCACAGGAACAAAAGGAGCAAGAUCAACCUUCUUCCUCAACAAUGGUGCAACCCCCAACUCAAGACGAUGAACAAGUUCAUCAAGAAGAGGCGUGUGAUCAAGGGGGAGCACAAGAUGAUCAUGUUAUGGAAGAAGAAGCACAACAUGCCCCUCCAACUCAAGUUCGAGCGACGAUUCAAAGGAAUCAUCCCGUCGAUCAGAUAUUGGGUGAUAUUAGUAAGGGAGUAACUACUCGCUCUAGAUUAGUAAUUUUUUGUGAGCAUUACUCUUUUGUCUCUUCUAUUGAGCCUUUCAGGGUAGAAAAGGCCUUGCUAGAUCCGGACUAGGUGUUGGCCAUGCAGGAGGAGCUCAACAAUUUCAAAUGAAAUGAAGUUUGGACAUUGGUGCCACGUCCCAAGCAAAACGUUGUGGGAACCAAGUGGGUGUUCCGCAACAAACAGGACGAGCACGGGGUGGUGACAAGGAACAAGGCACGACUUGUGGCAAAAGGUUAUGCCCAAGUCGCAGGUUUGGACUUUGAGGAGACUUUUGCUCCUGUGGCUAGGCUAGAGUCAAUUCACAUAUUGUUAGCCUAUGCCGCUCACCAUUCUUUCAGGUUGUUCCAAAUGGAUGUGAAGAGCGCUUUCCUCAACGGGCCAAUCAAGGAGGAGGUGUACGUAGAGCAACCCCUAGCUUUGAGGAUGAACGGUGCCCCGACCACGUGUGUAAGCUCUCUAAGGCGCUCUAUGGACUUAAGCAAGCCCCAAGAGCAUGGUAUGAAUGCCUUAGAGACUUUUUAAUUGCUAAUGCUUUCAAGGUUGGGAAAGCCGAUCCAACUUUAUUCACUAAGACAUGUGAUGGAGAUUUAUUUGUGUGCCAUAUUUAUGUCGAUGACAUAAUAUUUGGUUCUACUAACCAAAAGUCUUGUGAAGAGUUUAGCAGGGUGAUGACUCAAAAGUUCGAAAUGUCGAUGAUGGGCGAGUUGAACUACUUCCUUGGGUUCCAAGUGAAGCAACUCAAGGACGACACUUUAAUCUCCCAAACGAAGUACACGCAAGACUUGAUCAAGCGGUUUGGAAUGAAGGAUGCCAAGCCCACAAAGACUCCAAUGGGAACAGAUGGGAACUGACGGACACGUCGACCUCAACAAAGGAGGUAAGUCUGUUGAUCAAAAAGCAUACCGGUCUAUGAUAGGUUCCUUGCUUUACUUAUGUGCUAGUAGACUGGAUAUUAUGCUAAGUGUAUGCAUGUGUGCUAGAUUUCAAUCCGAUCCAACGGAGUGUCACUUAGUGGUCGUGAAGCGAAUUCUUAGAUAUUUAGUCGCUACGCCUUGCUUCGGGAUCUGGUAUCCAAAGGGGUCUACCUUUGACUUAAUUGGAUAUUCAGACUCCGAUUAUGCUGGGUGUAAGGUUGAUAGGAAGAGUACAUCAGGGACGUGCCAAUUCUUAGGAAGGUCCCUGGUGUCUUGGAGUUCUAAGAAACAAACUUCUGUUGCCCUAUCCACCGCUGAGGCCGAGUAUGUUGCCGCAGGACAGCGUUGCGCGCAACUACUUUGGAUGAGGCAAACCCUCCGGGACUUUGGCUACAAUCUGAGCAAAGUCCCACUCCUAUGUGAUAAUGAGAGUGCUAUCUGCAUGACGGAUAAUCCUGUUGAACACAGCCGCACAAAGCACAUAGACAUCCGACAUCACUUUUGAGAGACCAUCAGCAAAAGGGAGAUAUCGAAGUGUUUUAUGUUAGCACCGAGAACCAGCUAGCCGAUAUCUUUACCAAGCCUCUAGAUGAGAAGACCUUUUGCAGGCUGCGUAGUGAGCUAAAUGUCUUAGAUUCACGGAACUUGGAUUGACUUAUAGCAUACAUGUGUUUUAUGCCUUUGAUCAUGUUCCUUUAUGCAUAUUGUUAUUCAUUUAUGGUGUUCAAGUUGUACAAGCACUCCCCGGACCUCAAAAGUCCAUGUGUGAGUGAUGCACGUAUUUAGGGGGAGAUGUGCUACAACUUGACCCUUUGAGACUAACUGUGUGCUUGAGUUUACUAGAUUUAGUCUCAAAGGUGGAUUGAAAGGAAAAUGUGAACUUGGACCAUGAAAGACUUCCACUGCACUCCGAUGAGAGGGUAACUUACUCCAAGUUCAUCUCCAUACUCUUAUUGCCUUUUAUUCUUAUUUGAAGAUUUUUGGUGAGGCAAUGGGGUUUAAGGGCCAAAUAUGAUCCCGUUUUGGUGCUUGAUGCCAAAGGGGGAGAAGUUAAGGCCAAAGCAAGAAAUGGAUCAGCUACCACUUGAGAAUUUUGAAAUAAGUAGAGUUAGAGUUUUUGUUUUGUCAAAAUACUCUUAUGUCUCUUAUUGUCAAAAAUUGGUCUCUUGUGGGGAGAAUGUUUGAUUAUGGGAAAAAGGGGGAGUUUUUGAAUCUUUGAUCAAUUUCUCUUGGAAUACCUUUCUCUAUGCCUCAACAAGUGAAUUUGACUUAGAGAUAGGAAAUUGAGUUUGAUUUGCAAAAACAAACCAAGUGGUGGCGAAGAAUGAUCCAAAUAUGCCAAAUUUGAAUCAAAACAAAUUUUUGUUCUCAUUUGCAUUGAUGUUGCACUUCUAUAUGUUGCUUUUUGUUGUGUUGGCAUAAAUCACCAAAAAGGGGGAGAUUGAAAGGGAAAUGUGCUCUUGGGCCAUUUCUAAGUAUUUUGGUGAUUAAGUGACCAACACAAAUGGUUAUGUGUUAAACUAUGCCAAAUGGUGGACAAAGUGCAAAUCAAUACAAAGGUAUGAUUCUAGAUUUAGUACAUUGGUUUUUGUGUACUAACAUAUUUGUCUAAGUGCUAGAAUCAGAGAAAAGACAAAUGGAAAUGACUUGGCUCGAGCAGCCAAGGCUCUGCUCAAUCUGGGUGCACCGGACAGUGUCCUGUGCGCCAGGCUGACUCUGGUGAAAAGGCUGCUCUCGGGAUUUCGCCGACGGCGUACGGCUAUAAAUCACCGGACUGUCCGGUGAGCCAACGGUCGGCCGAGCCAACGGUCGGCCGCGCAAUCCGCGCGUGACGCGUGGCCGGGCCAACGGUCUGAUGGGGGCACCGGACUGUCCGGUGUGCACCGGACAGUGUCCGGUGCGCCAACAGCUCCAAAUCAUCAACGGUCAGCUGCGCCAGAAUAGGAAAGAGAUCUGCACCAGACAGUGUCUGGUGGUGCACCGGACUGUCUGGUGCACCAGUCGACAGAAGGCAAGAUUUGCCUUCCUGGAUUGCUCUCAACGGCUCCUAGCUGCCUUGGGGCUAUAAAAGGGACCCCUAGGCGCAUGAAGGAGUACACCAAGCACACUCUAAGCAUUCUUGAUCAUUCACACUCCGUCUUUGCGCACUUGAUUGACAUUCUUAGUGAUUUGAGCUCCUUGUUAGUGGUGAACCUUGUGUUAUUCUUUUGAGCUCAAGUCUUGGCUGUGUGUGUGCGUAUUGCUGUGGAUUUGUGUGUGUUGCUCUUCCCACUCUUACAUCUGUUCUUCUUUGUGAUCAUCUCAUUGUAAGGGCGAGAGGCUCCAAGUUGUGGAGAUUCCUCGCAAACGGGAAAGAGUAAAGGAAAAAGAACACCGUGGUAUUCAAGUUGAUCAUUGGAUCACUUGAAAGGAGUUGAGUGCAACUCUCGUCCAUUGGGAUGACACAACGUGGACUAGGCAAGUGUUGUACUUGGCCGAACCACGGGAUAAAUCUCUGUGUCUCUUGUGCUUGUUCUCACUGUGUCAAUUGUGGUUCACAAGAGCUCUCCUUAGCCACUUGAUUUUAUUGUGCUAACACUUAAUCAAGUUUUGUGGCUUUAAGUUUCAAGUUUUUACAUGAUCACCUAUUCACCCCCCCCGUCUAGGUGCUCUCAGAUUCAUCAACUCAACCCAUCCUCCUAAAAGCCAAGUGACUCCUUAAUAUCAAAUCCAACUCUAGUAUAUGAAGCUCAUGUCCAAAGUGUCCUUGGUUUAGGAGUUGUUUUGUUUAUCCACAAUUCCAAGCAAGAUUUUCAAAUCUCACUUAGGGUUUUGAGGUUAAUCCAGUUCCUCAAAUGAUUCUUCCACUUGACCUACCUUUAAAGUAAAGUUGCUUUAGGUUCUAAGUCUUGCCUUUAGCAUUUUAAUACUUUCGACCAACUUGUCACUUGCUUAAGAGACGAUUCCUCCUCACAUGGCUUAAGCAAAGUUCUUAACCUAAAUCCUAUACUUUACUCACAACAUCACACUCAAUGCAAAUUUUUGACCUAGUGAAUGCAUUCUAGGUGUAUCAAUCAAGUUAAUGCAAGUGCAAAUGAUGACAUGCCAAGGUUUUAGUUAUCGUAACACCAGAGGUGUUAUAAUAUACUUCACCUAACCGGUCAUUUGAAGGUGUGGGACCCAAGCAACAUACCAACACAUAUUAUAGUCAUUUCCAAGAGCUCAAACACUCAAGUGCUUAAUAGAAUCACUCCAUGAUUAGCUUAAAUGUUUUGCGAAGUGUUUAGGUUAGUUAGACCGCUAUUGCGCUUGUUCUAGGUGAUCCCUAGUUAAUUGCGUGAGUUUAGAAAAACCCACAAAACACCUCAGCUUUUGCGCGAGCCGUUGUAAUUGUAUCUAUUGGGGUGAGAGUCUUGCGAGACCGCAUCAACUGAGUUUGUGUUGUGGCCACCACCGUGUAUCAGAUGGAACGAGGCCCACGACAUUUUGGCCUGAAGCUCGAUAGUGAAGAAGACGGGGAGCGCCCGAGAGGAGGCCGGAUGCAGAGCACCACUUGUGCGUGGAGAAGGCUCGCGACUCUCUAUGGAGUUACUCGCCCGUGGUGCUUGGCCCUCGUGUGGGCUACCCUUUGCGUAGGGGCACCAACGAGGAUUAGUCGGGAACUUGUGUGGUUCUAGAUACCUCAGUAAAAAUACCAGCAUCGUCCACGGGAGUUUGCAUCUCUACCUUUGCUCUUUACUUUUCGCAUUUACAUUAAGUACUUAAGUUUCAAUCUCUCCUUUCUAGUUAGAAUAUUUAGGAUUGGAACUUAGGUUGCAAAACUCCUUUUGCGGUAGAGAUAGCAACACUUAGACAAAACCUAGUUUGCACUCUCUAGUUGUCUUACUUGCAUAAGUUUUGUUCUAGGAAUUUAUUUGUGGCCUAGAUUAGAGAAAGUUUUAAAAGUCCUAAUUCACCCCCCCUCUUAGGCGUCACCUUUCCUAUAAGUGGUAUCGGAUUCUGGUUUGGCUCAUUUUGAACGUUUUAGCUUCACCGCUAAUAGAGCCUACACUUUUAGAGAAAGAGGAUGGAUACCCAUAGGCUACCACACUUCGACGACACUAAUUUCCCUUAUUAUGGUGCUAGAAUGGCUUGUUACUUAGAAGAAAUUGAUCUAGGUGUUUGGAGAGUUACUCACGAUGGGAUGAAACCACCAAAGAAUUCUGAGAAGCUCACCGCGAGUGAUGAAAAAUAAUACAUUUGAAUGCUAGAGCCAAAAAAAUGCUUGUAUGAAUCUCUUAGCAUAGUUAUUUUCAAUCAAGUAUUCACUUCGAAAAUGCGAAUGAGAUUUGGCUUAAAUUGCAUGAGCUCCAUGACGACACAUCCAAUGUCUGUGAUAAAAAACUUUUCCUAGUCGCGAAUGAAUAUAAUUCUUUUCAAAUGAAAGAAAAUGAGCGUGUUAGAGAUACGUACUCUUGAUUAAAUUAGUUAUCAAUGAGCUCAAUUCUAUUGGAAUUAAUAAGCUAGGGGAUGCAGACAUUGUGAGGAAGAUCACCUCUGUAAGGAAAAUGGACCCCAGGCCAAUUAGCUCAAUAGGUUUUGGUGUUUGAUUAUCAACAUAACAUGUGGACUAAUGUAUUUCCCAAGUGUUUAUGUGUUGUAGUUCACAAGAUGCGAAGUGGAUUGGACUGAGGCUCUGAAGAUGCAACACCUCAAAGAAGACAUUAUAAUACUCAUAGAAGACAUUACAAAGUCAUAUUGAAGAAACUUUAUACAUGCUAAGAGUCCAACACAUCAAGAAGUAGAAGUGAGAAACAAAGCUACAAAACAAAAGUGAAGUUGCCAAAGUUGAGAGGAAGGGCUGACUGAAUUGGAAGUGUUUCACAAAAUUAAAUCUACUCAAACUGACAUGGCUUCAACUCUGAGAUGUAGAGAAUUUCAUAAGCUUUCCAAAAAGUACAAGACCAUCGAAAUCGGAGUUCGGAGCUAAACGUUAUGCCCACAAUACAAAGUCGGAAUUGCUGAAAAAACUGCAGCAGCAUAUGGGAUGUCCAAUGCACAUUGGACUGUCUGGUGUGCCAAAUUUGCUCAAACCGCUAUGCCUUCAACUCUGGGAUGUAGGACAUUUCAUAAUCUUUCCAAAAAGUACAAGAUCAUCGAAAUCGGAGUUCGGAUCUAAAAGUUAUGGCCAAAAUACGACAAGCGAGCAUGGGUUGUCCGGUGCACCACCGGACAGUCCGGUGCACCUGUCCCGUGCGCCGCAGAAAGCUGCAGAACUGCUUUCCAACGGCUAUAUUUGAGUUGGAGCUUAUAUAUGCUUCACUCAACCAGCCAUUUGGAGGUGUGGGAGCCCAAGAGACAUACUAAGGAACAUAGUUCACAUUUCCAAGAGCUCAUACACCUAAGUGCUUAAUAGAAUCACUCGGUGAUUAGCGUAGGUGUUUUGCGAAGUGCUUAGGUUAGUUAGACCGCUCUAGCGCUUUCUCUAGUUAAAUCCUAGUUAGUUGAGUGAGUUUAGAUAAACCACACAACCCCUCGGAUCUUGCGCGAGCCAUUGUAAUUGUACCGAGUGGGGUGAGUCUUGCGAGACCGUGACAACCACGUUUGUAUCACGGUCGCCACCGUGUACCAAAGCGAACGAGGCCCGCAGCGUUUUCAGCUAGAAGCUCAAUAGUGGAGAUGGCGGAGAGCGUCUAAGAGAAGCCGAAAGCGGAGCACCACUUGCACGUGGAGAAGGCCCGUGGCUCUCUACGGAGUUACUCGACCAAGGUGCUUGGCCCUCGCGUGGGCUUUCCUUUGCGAAGGGCACCAACGAGGAUUAGUCGGGACCUUGCGCGGUUCCGGAUACCUCGGUAAAAAUACCGGCGUCAUCCACGAGAGUUUGCAUCUCUUCCUUCUCUUUAGCUUCCACAUUUACAUUAAGCAUUUAAGUUUCAAUCUUGUCUUUCUAAUUAGAUUGUUUAGAUUGAAACUUAACUUUCACGGUAGAGAUAGCAAACCCUUAGACAAAACCUAGUUUGCACAUUGUGAAUUGAUUAUUUGCAUAGGUUUUGCUCUAGGGAUUUAAUUGUUGCCUUGUUUAGUGAAAGUUUUAGAAGUCCUAAUUCACCCCCUCUUAGCCGUCACCUGUUUCCUUCAAUUGAUAUCAAAGCCUAGUUUGGCUCAUUUGAAACGCUUUAGUUUCACCGCUAAAAGAGCUGACACUUUUUGAGAAAGGGGAUGGAUACCCAUAGGACACCACACUUCGACGACACUAACUUCCUAUAUUAUAGUGCUAGAAUGGCUUGUUACCUAGAGGUCGUUGAUCUAGGUGUUUGGAGAGUCACUCGUGACGGGAUGAAACCACUCAAGAAUCCCGAGAAACCCACCACGAGUGAGGAAAAAGAAAUUCAUUUAAAUGCUAGAGCCAAAAAUUGCUUGUAUGAAUCCUUAGCAUGAAUAUUUUCAAUCAAGUUUUUAAAUUUAAAACUGCUAAUGAGAUUUGACUAAAGUUGUAUGAGCAACAACAUUGCCUAGUCUUAAAUGAGUAUAAUUCUUUUGCUAUGAAGGAUAAUGAGCUUGUUAGAGAUAUGUAUUCUCGUUUGAAUCUAAUCAUCAAUGAGCUCAAUUCUAUUGGCAUUAAUAAGCUAGGUGAUGCGGACAUUGUGAGGAAAAUUAUCUCCCUGUUACCACAACAAAAAUAUGGGAGCAUAAUCACUAUUCUUCACAACAUGGAGGACUUGAGUACAAUGACCCCGAUAAUUGUGAUUGGGAAAAUCGUGGCUUUUGAGAUGUCGCAAAAAAUGUGUCUCGAAGAGGAGCCCACUUCUUCAAGGCUGUAUGCUUUUGCAUGUGAUGAAAGAAAAGGCAAGAAGAAGGCUCCCACUCCAAGUUCCUCAAGUGAAGAAGAGGAAGAGGAAGUAGAAAGUGAUGAUGAUGAAUAUAAUCAACCAUCAUCCUCCGAGGACGAAGAAACAAUCCGACGCGUCGGAAAGGUAAUGGUGAUGAUCCGCAAGAUUAAUCUAAUGGGUGUGCCACUGCAGGUAGAGGAUCUUCUCUUUAACAUUGACAGAGAAAAGCAAAGAAAGAGAGGAUGCUUCACUUGCGGGGAAAAUGGCCACUUCAAGGACAAUUAUUCAACUAUGGCCGAACCCACAAAGAGGAGCAAAGGCAACGCGCCCACAAGUGUCAAGACUUUGGAUGACUCUUCUAGCGAAGAAGAACCCCCAAGGAUGCGCAGCCACCGGUCCUCAUCACAUUCAUCACGGUCAUCACGCAAGUGCCUUAUGGCAAUAGGUAUAAUGACUAUUCCAUCCUCUAUUGAUGAUAGUAGUAGUGAUGAUGAAGGUGAGGGAAAUCCCUCCGUAGAUGAUCUUGCGGAAGCCAUUAAAUUUUUCCAGGAUGUUUGCACUAAGCAAAAGGCUCAACUUAAAACUUUGAAAAAUAAGUUGAUUAUCUCUCAAAAUGAUUAUAAAGGUUUGCUAGAAAAAUUUGAAACAUUUCAAAUUUGAAUUGUGAGCUAUCAACUA
rnacentral:lncRNA from 1 species